AUUGAACGCUGGCGGCAUGCCUUACACAUGCAAGUCGAACGGUAACAGGUCUUCGGAUGCUGACGAGUGGCGAACGGGUGAGUAAUACAUCGGAACGUGCCUAGUAGUGGGGGAUAACUACUCGAGAGAGUGGCUAAUACCGCAUGAGAUCUACGGAUGAAAGCAGGGGAUCGCAAGACCUUGUGCUACUAGAGCGGCCGAUGGCAGAUUAGGUAGUUGGUGGGAUAAAAGCUUACCAAGACGACGAUCUGUAGCUGGUCUGAGAGGACGAUCAGCCACACUGGGACUGAGACACGGCCCAGACUCCUACGGGAGGCAGCAGUGGGGAAUUUUGGACAAUGGGCGAAAGCCUGAUCCAGCAAUGCCGCGUGCAGGAUGAAGGCCUUCGGGUUGUAAACUGCUUUUGUACGGAACGAAAAGCCCCGGGUUAAUACCCUGGGGUCAUGACGGUACCGUAAGAAUAAGCACCGGCUAACUACGUGCCAGCCGCCGCGGUAA
rnacentral:rRNA from 1 species